UACGUAGGGUGCGAGCGUUGUCCGGAUUUAUUGGGCGUAAAGGGCUCGUAGGCGGCGUGUCGCGUCGGGAGUGAAAGCCCGUUGCUUAACGGCGGGUUGGCUUUCGGUACGGGCAUGCUGGAGUGCGGCAGGGGAGACUGGAAUUCCUGGUGUAGCGGUGGAAUGCGCAGAUAUCAGGAGGAACACCGGUGGCGAAGGCGGGUCUCUGGGCAGUAACUGACGCUGGAGGAGCGAAAGCGUGGGGAGCGAACAGG
rnacentral:rRNA from 1 species